rnacentral:rRNA from 1 species
GGACUACUGGGGUAUCUAAUCCUGUUUGCUCCCCUAGCUUUCGUGCAUCAGCGUCAGUUAUGGUCCAGUGAGCCGCUUUCGCCACAGGUGUUCCUCCUGAUAUCUACGCAUUUCACCGCUACACCAGGAAUUCCACUCACCUCUCCCAUACUCAAGCCGGACAGUUUCUCGUGCAGACUUCGAGUUGAGCCCGAAGAUUUCACAUGAGACUUAUUCGACCGCCUACGCACCCUUUACGCCCAAUAAUUCCGAACAACGCUCGCCCCCCUCGUAUUACCGCGGCUGCUGGCAC